rnacentral:ncRNA from 2 species
CUCUUAUCGAGAGUGGUGGAGGGACUGGCCCUGUGAAACCCAGCAACCUGUAUCUAUUUAGAUACGUGGUGCUAAAUCCUGCGAUAUUUGUCGGAAGAUGAGGU